rnacentral:rRNA from 1 species
GAUGAACGCUGGCGGCGUGCCUAAUACAUGCAAGUCGAACGGGGAGUAGCAAUACUCUUAGUGGCGAACGGGUGAGUAACGCGUUGGUACCUGCCCCGAAGCGGGGUAUAACGGACCGAAAUGUCCGCUAAUCCCCCAUGUGCUCGGUAACGAGUAAAUGUGAACACCACUUUGGGGGGGGCCUGCGUCCCAUCAGCUAGUUGGUAAGGUAACGGCUUACCAAGGCGAUGACGGGUAGGGGACCUGAGAGGGUGGCCCCCCACAAUGGAACUGAAACACGGUCCAUACACCUACGGGUGGCAGCAGUAGGGAAUAUUGGUAAUGGGCGCAAGCCUGAACCAGCAACGCCGCGUGGGCGAUGACGGCCUUCGGGUUGGAAAGCACUUUUGACUGGGACGGGGAAGGACGGUACCGGUCGAAUCAGCCUCGGCUAACUACGUG